AAGACGAAAAAUUUAUUCAAACGUCAAAAUGUGUUCUUACAUAGUUAUUUUAAAACAUUAAAUGCUUAAUAAGUGUUAUUUUAUUGUUUGUUAUUAGUGUUUUGGUGCAAAUUCAUCUAAUAGUUCAAAUAAAUUACCAUUGAAUAUACCCUAUCAUAUUUGAUACAUGGAAAUGUUGGAUUACAGGGUGAAGAUUGAGGCUAGGAGCAUUCAUCAACAUAUAUCUAGAAUUCCUGAGGGGGAUUCUGGCAUACAAGAAAGGGAAACAGAUAAUUAAGAGUAGAUAUAUAGCAGGGAUAGUCGAGACAACGUCAGAAUUUAUGGAAAAGCUUUUAAACUUUUCAGCAGCUAAAGAGAUGAACAAAAAUAAUAUUAAAUAGUAGCAUAGAUAAAAAAUUACGAAUAAGGUAAAGAGAAAGAUUAUGGUGAAAAUAAAAUGAGUUGAGGUGGUACUGAACACAUUGUUUACUGUUAUCACUACUACAACAUGGCGUGCAGGAAAUUGAUUGUAGAGCUGGUCGAGGGACUAACUUAUACAAUAUGGAGGAUGUAGGACCAAAGAGGUAUCAAAAUUAACUUGGAUUCACCGGAUUUUCUCAAAAAUGAAGAUAAAGACCAGAGUGGAUACGAAACCACUACAACAUGGCAUACAAAAGUGGUGCAGUUGGUUUUAUUUUGAAUUAUCUAUUACUAGUCGAGGGACUAACUUGUGCAGUACAAAGGAUAAAGGACCAACAAGAUACUUCAGUUCCUUCCCUUUGAAAGAACCUAUA